rnacentral:lncRNA from 1 species
UGACUGUAAAGUAAAUUAGUAUGUUAAAUGUUAAUCAAGAUUAAUUGAUAUUUCAACAGCCGCUCUAAAUCACGAUCACCAUCUUUAAAGAGAAGUUUUGAUAUGAGCCAUUUAUAUCCAUUCUCCAUUAACUCACGUCGUUCGCCAUCAGGAAGCCCUCGAAGAAGUAUCAGUCCUGAAAGAAUGGAUUAGAAUGGCAAAGAACGUGUUAGGAAAAGUAUUGUUUAUGUAAUUUUAAGGGAUUUCUUUAUUGAGAAAUAAAAGGAUUUAGUUCGCUGAAGAAAAUCUUUUC